rnacentral:rRNA from 1 species
AUUGAACGCUGGCGGCAGGCCUAACACAUGCAAGUCGAACGGUAACAGGAAGAAGCUUGCUUCUUUGCUGACGAGUGGCGGACGGGUGAGUAAUGUCUGGGAAACUGCCUGAUGGAGGGGGAUAACUACUGGAAACGGUAGCUAAUACCGCUUAACGUCGCAAGACCAAAAAGGGGGACCUUCGGGCCUCUUGCCAUCGGAUGUGCCCAGAUGGGAUUAGCUAGUAGGUGGGGUAACGGCUCACCUAGGCGACGAUCCCUAGCUGGUCUGAGAGGAUGACCAGCCACACUGGAACUGAGACACGGUCCAGACUCCUACGGGAGGCAGCAGUGGGGAAUAUUGCACAAUGGGCGCAAGCCUGAUGCAGCCAUGCCGCGUGUAUGAAGAAGGCCUUCGGGUUGUAAAGUACUUUCAGCGGGGAGGAAGGGAGUAAAGUUAAUACCUUUGCUCAUUGACGUUACCCGCAGAAGAAGCACCGGCUAACUCCGUG